CCUACGGGGGGCAGCAGUGGGGAAUAUUGGACAAUGGGCGAAAGCCUGAUCCAGCCAUGCCGCGUGUGUGAAGAAGGCCUUCGGGUUGUAAAGCACUUUCAGUGGGGAAGAAAGCCUUGGGGCUAAUACCCUCGAGGAAGGACAUCACCCACAGAAGAAGCACCGGCUAACUCCGUGCCAGCAGCCGCGGUAAUACGGAGGGUGCGAGCGUUAAUCGGAAUUACUGGGCGUAAAGCGCGCGUAGGCGGUCUGAUAAGCCGGUUGUGAAAGCCCCGGGCUCAACCUGGGAACGGCAUCCGGAACUGUCAGGCUAGAGUGCAGGAGAGGAAGGUAGAAUUCCCGGUGUAUCGGUGAAAUGCGUAGAGAUCGGGAGGAAUACCAGUGGCGAAGGCGGCCUUCUGGACUGACACUGACGCUGAGGUGCGAAAGCGUGGGUAGCAAACAGGAUUAGAUACCCUUGUAGUC
rnacentral:rRNA from 1 species